rnacentral:rRNA from 1 species
UACCCCGGGGAUAACAGGCUUAUCUCCCCCAAGAGUUCACAUCGACGGGGAGGUUUGGCACCUCGAUGUCGGCUCAUCGCAUCCUGGGGCUGUAGUCGGUCCCAAGGGUUGGGCUGUUCGCCCAUUAAAGCGGUACGCGAGCUGGGUUCAGAACGUCGUGAGACAGUUCGGUCCCUAUCCGUCGUGGGCGUAGGAAAUUUGAGAGGAGCUGUCCUUAGUACGAGAGGACCGGGAUGGACAUACCUCUGGUGUACCAGUUGUCGUGCCAACGGCAUAGCUGGGUAGCUAUGUGUGGACGGGAUAAGUGCUGAAAGCAUCUAAGCAUGAAGCCCCCCUCAAGAUGAGAUUUCCCAACUUCGGUUAUAAGAUCCCUCAAAGAUGAUGAGGUUAAUAGGUUCGAGGUGGAAGCAUGGUGACAUGUGG